AUCUUUAUAGUAUAUAAGUAUAUUUGACUUCCAAUCAUAAGGACUAUUAAUUAAUAGUAAAGAUA
rnacentral:tRNA from 1 species